rnacentral:rRNA from 1 species
GUUGAACGCUGGCGGCAGGCUUAACACAUGCAAGUCGAGCGGGGUGAUGGUGCUUGCACUAUCACUUAGCGGCGGACGGGUGAGUAAUGCUUAGGAAUCUGCCUAUUAGUGGGGGACAACAUCUCGAAAGGGAUGCUAAUACCGCAUACGUCCUACGGGAGAAAGCAGGGGAUCACUUGUGACCUUGCGCUAAUAGAUGAGCCUAAGUCGGAUUAGCUAGUUGGUGGGGUAAAGGCCUACCAAGGCGACGAUCUGUAGCGGGUCUGAGAGGAUGAUCCGCCACACUGGGACUGAGACACGGCCCAGACUCCUACAGGAGGCAGCAGUGGGGAAUAUUGGACAAUGGGGGGAACCCUGAUCCAGCCAUGCCGCGUGUGUGAAGAAGGCCUUAUGGUUGUAAAGCACUUUAAGCGAGGAGGAGGCUCUUUUGGUUAAUACCCAGAAUGAGUGGACGUUACUCGCAGAAUAAGCACCGGCUAACUCUGUGCCAGCCGCCGCAGUAACAC